ensembl:lncRNA
ACCAUACAAAUACCAGCUAUUACUAUUCCAGGAGGUUCGGGGGUGGGGCAUUUCGGCAAAGGGGACCCCUACCCACAUUCUUUAGGAACAGGAAGGACGGCUGUCUCUCCUAGAAUAGUAAAUUGGACCCUCACUCCCUUCCUCUUCUUAGUUUCAGUUUCCAGGGAAUGGAGAGACCAGAGCAGCCCCUGCCCCAAGGCUCGGCCCAGCCCGGGAAGAAGGGGAGGGGGUGCGGCCGCAGCCCCGGCUUCAGUCAUCUUAGGAAGUGAGGAGCGCCUCAGCCUCGCACCUGUCCCAGUCCCUGGCCAGUCACCUGUCCUCCCGGACGGUCCUUCCCGCGCUGCCUCCGCUGAGCCUCGCCUCGCGCCGUACCCCCAGCCGGCCCAGUUGCCAGAUGCUGCCACUGGCGCAGCCACCACCCGAGCGAGAAAGCACCGGGUCCCCAGUUGGCGACUCUCACAGCAAAAUGGCGGAUCCGUGUGCGUGAGCGGCGCUGGCUCAGCUAGCGGAGACCCGGGGGCGGGGCCAGGGAGCGAGGGGGCUCCGCCCCCAACGCCGGCCCUAGACAGUCCGCGAGCCUGGGGAACUCCACAAUCUUCACCUAGAACUGAAAAGGACAAUGGAAAUAGAUCAAACCUCAUGUUUCUUGGUACCACAGAGACUAACUGAACCACCCAGCUCCAAAGCCAAAGAUGAAAGAAAGAAGGUGGAGGAGAGGAAUUGUGCUCUUUGUGGUUCUUGUAGCCCUGUCACUCACACCUGUGCUACAAGGGAAGACUUGACUGAUACACUACAGUGAUAUGUUUAAAAUUGUACAUG